ACUGCUGAGCUAGCACUUCCAGA
rnacentral:miRNA from 15 species